rnacentral:tRNA from 1 species
GGGGUGGCUUACCGUAUACUAUGGGAGAGCGCUUGAAUGGCAUUCAAGAGGUCAUCGGUUCGAUCCCGAUUAUCUCCACCA